rnacentral:rRNA from 1 species
UGGGGAAUAUUGCACAAUGGGCGAAAGCCUGAUGCAGCAACGCCGCGUGAGUGAUGAAGGCCUUCGGGUUGUAAAGCUCUGUCUUUUGGGACGAUAAUGACGGUACCAAAGGAGGAAGCCACGGCUAACUACGUGCCAGCAGCCGCGGUAAUACGUAGGUGGCAAGCGUUGUCCGGAUUUACUGGGCGUAAAGGAUGCGUAGGCGGAUUUUUAAGUGAGAUGUGAAAUACCCGGGCUUAACUUGGGUGCUGCAUUUCAAACUGGAAAUCUAGAGUGCGGGAGAGGAGAAUGGAAUUCCUAGUGUAGCGGUGAAAUGCGUAGAGAUUAGGAAGAACACCAGUGGCGAAGGCGAUUCUCUGGACCGUAACUGACGCUGAGGCAUGAAAGCGUGGGUAGCAAACAGGAUUAGAUACCCUGGUAGUCCACGCCGUAAACGAUGAGUACUAGGUGUAGGAGGUAUCGACCCCUUCUGUGCCGCAGUUAACACAAUAAGUACUCCGCCUGGGAAGUACGAUCGCAAGAUUAAAA